rnacentral:rRNA from 1 species
AUUGAACGCUGGCGGCAUGCCUUACACAUGCAAGUCGAACGGCAGCACGGGUGCUUGCACCUGGUGGCGAGUGGCGAACGGGUGAGUUAUACAUCGGAACAUGUCCUGUCGUGGGGGAUAGCCCGGCGAAAGCCGGAUUAAUACCGCAUACGAUCUACGGCUGACAGCGGGGGCCCUUCGGGCCUCGCGCUAUCGGGUUGGCCGAUGGCUGAUUCGCUAGUUGGGGGGGUAAAGGCCUACCAAGGCGACGACCAGUAGCUGGUCUGAGAGGACGACCAGCCACACUGGGACUGAGACACGGCCCAGACUCCUACGGGAGGCAGCAGUGGGGAAUUUUGGACAAUGGGCGAAAGCCUGAUCCAGCAAUGCCGCGUGUGUGAAGAAGGCCUUCGGGUUGUAAAGCACUUUUGUCCGGAAAGAAAUACUUGGCCCUAAUACGGUCGGGGGAUGACGGUACCGGAAGAAUAAGCACCGGCUAACUACGUG